UCAACAUCCAUUUCAAAAUGGGACGUAUGGCUUUGAUUAGUAUUGCCAUAAAGACUGCCGAAAAUGGAUGUGGUAUGGAAACCCAGAAAUGGCAUGAGUUCAACAUCAAACAUGGAUUAGCAGGGGAUCAAGUCAAGUCUGGAAGUGUUACAGGAUGGAAGAGUGAGCCUACAGUUGAAAAAACACAGAGUGCAUUACCAUUAAGAGUGUUGGUGAAGCUGGGUACUUAAAUGGCCCUAAAGAUGUUUCACUUCGCUGGCAUUGCAGCGAUGAACAUCAUACAUGGACUCUUUAGGAAAGGAUUUUCAGCAUACUGGGAACAGAACUAUCAACAAUGCAACAUUCUACGGGUGCUAUUUUAUCAUUCAAGAGCC